rnacentral:rRNA from 1 species
AGUGAACGCUGGCGGUAGGCCUAACACAUGCAAGUCGAACGGCAGCACAGUAAGAGCUUGCUCUUACGGGUGGCGAGUGGCGGACGGGUGAGGAAUACAUCGGAAUCUACUUUUUCGUUGGGGAUAACGUAGGGAAACUUACGCUAAUACCGCAUACGACCUACGGGUGAAAGCAGGGGAUCUUCUGACCUUGCGCGAUUGAAUGAGCCGAUGUCGGAUUAGCUAGUUGGCGGGGUAAAGGCCCACCAAGGCGACGAUCCGUAGCUGGUCUGAGAGGAUGAUCAGCCACACGGGAACUGAGACACGGUCCAGACUCCUGCGGGAGGCAGCAGUGGGGAAUAUUGGACAAUGGGCGCAAGCCUGAUCCAGCCAUACCGCGUGGGUGAAGAAGGCCUUCGGGUUGUAAAGCCCUUUUGUUGGGAAAGAAAAGCAGCAGGUUAAUACCCCGCUGUUCUGACGGUACCCAAAGAAUAAGCACCGGCUAACUUCGUG